ACGAGGUUUUCUUAUAUUUCUGUUGACAGUCCGCUAACAUAACCGAAUAAAACUGAUCCAAUAUCAAAUCUGCGGCCUUUCUGUUCACAAAAGCUAAUAGCAGAAUCCGUUAAUGCAGAUUUGGCUGGUAGUGCAACUGGUUUAAUAGAGUAACGUUAGUCCUGAAGAAUCACGGUGACGUAUAUUAUUGUUACUGAUAUACUACCCAACAAAACAUCCAAAAAUAACAAUUGUAAGGUUCGAGCAGGCCAAAAAAUUGUGUUUCUGGUAUGAAAAAUAUGUGUGGUUUAGACUUUCACAAUGUCUCAAUAUCAAUAUUCUUGUAAGAAUAACGCCAACAAUCUAACACUGCUGUUUAUAAUAGUCACUAUUUACUGUUUGUUUGUAUCUAAGAUAUUAAACGUGUACUUAUCUAAGCAAAGGUUGUACUAAAUUACAAGCCUCAUUACGAUAAACAAUAUAUGCACACAUACACAUCUAAAAAACACUAAUAAAAAUAAUCUUUCUGUAAAGAAAGAUAGAAGGAAUCUUAGUAACACUGAAUUUUACAAUUAAUCUAAUGAAGUACUUUUAUGUUCAGUAUUCAACAUUUUAUGAAAUUGGAAUAUAAGACAUUUCACUUAAAAAUGAAACUGACAUGAAGGUCUUAAAAGGUCUUGAAAGGACUCUGAAGAUCUUUUGUAUAUGAUAUCACCAUAUAUAUAUAUAUAUAUAUA